rnacentral:lncRNA from 1 species
UGAUAAAUGGGCCCAGCUAAACUUAAUCUGUAUGCAUAAUAACCAUCUAAAAGAAUCUGCACACAGUUACUAGUCACUCGAAGAGCUGGAAAAUUCAGUUGAACCGUGCACGCAUGCAUUAAGAUCGUUAACAACUUUGGGAUUACUAACAUGGUUAAACUUGACCUAUGUUCUAACUUCUAAGCAGUUUUAUCCUAUGAGCUGUGCACACGAAUGUUUAGAAGCAACAUAUCCCAAAAGAAGAUAACAGGAUGAAAAAAAAAAAAAGAAAUAAAAUCAUUUUUAGAUGUUAAUCAUCAGAUAUCUAGUUGGAACCUUACAUUAUCGACAAACUUAUCAAACCGACUCUUGAUUUACCGCCAACAUGUGAUAUCUCAUGCGAUCAAUACCAUUUAACCUUACACAACAUAAGAUCUGCUCUGGCAAUUCCUCCGCUUUGUUACCCUGAUUCACAGUAAAAAAAGUCCCCGGUUUUAUACGUUGAACUGUAGAAACACGAAAAAAAAAACAAGAAAACGCGUAGUCAUGGACAAUAACUUGCCUGAAUUGUGAGGCCGACAUCCAAAAUGCAGUUCUUUAGUCGAUCUUGGAAUGCUUCAAACCCUUUCCUGGAGAUGUAACUAAAUCUAUGCAUAUCCAAAUCAAUCUCAAAAAACUCACUUGGUAGAAUUCAUGUUGUGGACGUGAAAGCACGGGCUUUUCAUUAUAAGCAUGCAUAAGUUUCCUCUCGGGUGCAUUCAACUGAAGAUCCUCAACGUUUACAACCCGACCCAAUAUUUUCAACCUUUCGCGAAAUGGUACUAGUGUAUCAACAGGGAAACCUUUGACUUUUUCUAUUUCGUCAUCCAAAAUCCUCUGUUC